AUGGAAUGGAAAAAUGAGAAGCAUUUCCAAUGAACAUCUCCAACAUUUUGGGAUUACUUCUGUUUAAAAAGGAUAAAGAAAUCUACUGUAAAACAGAAACAUAAUUAAGAAAGCAAUCAGCUCCUAAGAAAAAGUCUGGAGUAAUAUUAGAUUACCAACAUAUUUCUUCAAAACUGGAGCAUCCAGCAUCAUAAAUGAAUGUUCCCAUCCUGGAGGGACUCAAGUUAAUAAAAUGAGUUUAAGCAAUAUAUGUGAGUAUCAAAAAGCCCAGAGCAAGGCAAGGAACCGAACAGAAGACUGUUCCAAAAAGAGGAGAAUGAGAAACAUAACCAGAGAUGAACCUCAUAAACCUGCGUCUGAAGAGGUAGGCUCAACUCUACGAAUAUUCAUGGUACCGACUUCUAUCUUUCAGUUAGUCUCAAAGGUACUGCAAUAUCCCUUUGCAUUCAGAAACCUGGAAGAUCUUUAUGAUGUGUCCAUUGCU